CAGUCGCCGCGGUAAUACGAAGGUCCCGAGCGUUGUUCGGAAUCACUGGGCGUAAAGGGAGCGUAGGCGGCGUGGUAAGUCAGAUGUGAAAUCCCGGGGCUCAACCCCGGAACUGCAUCCGAUACUGCCAUGCUAGAGGAUUGGAGAGGUAGCUGGAAUUCUUGGUGUAGCAGUGAAAUGCGUGGAGAUCAAGAGGAACACUCGUGGCGAAAGCGAGCUACUGGACAAUAACUGACGCUGAGGCUCGAAGGCCAGGGUAGCGAAAGGGAUUAGAUACCCGUGUAGUCCCUGUCUCUUAUAC
rnacentral:rRNA from 1 species